rnacentral:rRNA from 1 species
GUGGGGAAUCUUGCGCAAUGGGCGAAAGCCUGACGCAGCCAUGCCGCGUGAAUGAUGAAGGUCUUAGGAUCGUAAAAUUCUUUCACCGGGGACGAUAAUGACGGUACCCGGAGAAGAAGCUCCGGCUAACUUCGUGCCAGCAGCCGCGGUAAUACGAAGGGGGCUAGCGUUGCUCGGAAUUACUGGGCGUAAAGGGCGCGUAGGCGGACAGCUUAGUCAGAGGUGAAAGCCGAGGGCUCAACCUUGGAAUUGCCUUUGAUACUGGCUGGUUUGAGUUUGGGAGAGGUGAGUGGAACUCCGAGUGUAGAGGUGAAAUUCGUAGAUAUUCGGAAGAACACCAGUGGCGAAGGCGACUCACUGGCCCAAUACUGACGCUGAGGCGCGAAAGCGUGGGGAGCAAACAGGAUUAGAUACCCCGGUAGUCC